CCAGAGGACAGAGGAGAAGAAAAGAAGUUUUAACUGAAAAAGAAACAAGUUAGUUGCCAUGCCGCUUUUAAAACCCCCACUCUUUCCUUUAAUUAAUUAAUUAAUUUUUCAGAUUUUUUCUCUGCUUGCUAAUUUUAUAUUCUUGAAUCGUUCGAGAUCUUAUUUAUUUUAGUGUGAAUCUCAGUAAAACUUUGUGCCUUCUUCUUGCUUAAGGGAUUUUUGCUUUUUUCUUUUGGGUUUUGUUUGAUGGCUUAGAAGAGGUGAUUCGGAAUCAAUCUGCGGUGACUCUCCAUUCCUCUGACUUGCUCUGCUAUAUUCUUCCUCUCUGGUCUAUUUCCUCUCUCCUCCAUAAAAGGCAGGAGAGGGUUUGCUAUGGUGGAGGCAAGAAUGCGAUGGUGGGGCAAGGUGGUGUUCCCUAUGCGAAGAAUCUGGAACCGACUUCUUAUUCGUCUCCGGAUUCGCAACAGCGGACUACUGAAGUUGCGACAUGAUGUGAGAUCAUGCGAGUAUCAGGAUAUACAGGUGAUGUGGGAAAUGCUGCACAAAAAAGAAGAGCUAGCUCGAUCAUUUGGGACCGAGAAGAAGCAAUGCUGGAAUAAUUUCAUGGAGUGGGCUAAGCGUGCUCCGUACUUUUGCCGCAAUUUUUGAUCCAUCACCAUCUUUGAAAGUACUCUCAGCUCUAGAAGGCCAUCCACUGUGUCUUAAGAAUGGCCAACAUGCACAUUAGUUAAUCAGACAAUAAAAAGAAAAAGACAAAGGAGGCCCUCAAUAUGUGCAACGGUGCGUCUUCUCCUUGUCAAGUCAGUUAUAACCUGUAGAUAUAUAAGAUUGCCUAGCAAAUGGGUGUGCUUUAUAUUUCUUUUCCUCCUUUUGAUGCUAUCUAUAUAUCUAGUAUAAAUAAACUGAUGUGCUAUGGUCCCAAGUGUUGUGAAGUAAUCCUUAUAAGUGAUGUGUACCUAAACUUAGAGAGAUGGUAUCUUAUAGUGGGUUUUUCUUUUUUUUUUUUUUUUGCUCCUAUGCUGUAAGACAGUGUUCUUAUCAGUUUGAUAUAUUGAAGCUAUACAAUAAAGUAAAACUAUAAGAUUCUAAGAAAA